AGCGGCGGACGGGUGAGUAACGCGUGGGUAACCUGCCCUAUACACACGGAUAACAUACCGAAAGGUAUGCUAAUACGGGAUAAUAUAAGAGAUUCGCAUGGAUUUCUUAUCAAAGCUGAGGCGGUAUAGGAUGGACCCGCGUCUGAUUAGCUAGUUGGUAAGGUAACGGCUUACCAAGGCGACGAUCAGUAGCCGACCUGAGAGGGUGAUCGGCCACAUUGGAACUGAGACACGGUCCAAACUCCUACGGGAGGCAGCAGUGGGGAAUAUUGCACAAUGGGCGAAAGCCUGAUGCAGCAACGCCGCGUGAGUGAUGAAGGCCUUCGGGUCGUAAAACUCUGUCCUCAAGGAAGAUAAUGACGGUACUUGAGGAGGAAGCCCCGGCUAACUACGUGCCGGCAGCCGCGGUAAUACGUAGGGGGCUAGCGUUAUCCGAAUUUACUGGGCGUAGAGGGUGCGUAGGUGGUCUCUUAAGUCAGGAGUGAAAGGCUACGGCUUAACCGUAGUAAGCUCUUGAAACUGGGAGACUUGAGUGCAGGAGAGGAAAGUGGAAUUCCUAGUGUAGCGGUGAAAUGCGUAGAUAUUAGGAGGAACACCAGUAGCGAAGGCGGCUUUCUGGACUGUAACUGACACUGAGGCACGAAAGCGUGGGGAGCAAACAGGAUUAGAUACCCUGGUAGUCCACGCCGUAAACGAUGAGUACUAGGUGU
rnacentral:rRNA from 1 species